GACGAACGCUGGCGGCGUGCUUAACACAUGCAAGUCGAACGGAAAGGCCCUGCGUUUGUGGUGUUCUCGAGUGGCGAACGGGGGAGUAACACGUGAGUAACCUGCCCUUGAUUUUCGUAGAGCUUCACGAAGCGGGGGCUAAUACCGUAUAGGAGCUCCUGCUGCAUUGUGGGGGUUGGAAAGUUUCGGCUGGUGGGGAUGGAUUCGCGGCUUAUCGGCUUGUUGGUGGGGUAGUGGCUUACCCAGGCUGAGACGGAUAGCCGGCCUGAGAGGGUGGCCGGCGACCUUGGGACUAAGAGACGGAGCAGUCGGGUAUGGGAGACAAUAGUGGGAAACAUUGCCCAACGGGACCAAGUCGGAGGAGAAAACGUUGCGGUUGGAAUGCCGGUCUUCGGGGAGAAAAAAGCAUUAGCCUGUGACGCAGCGGGAGUGACGGUACCCGAUAAAGAAGCACCGGCUAACUACGUG
rnacentral:rRNA from 1 species